rnacentral:rRNA from 1 species
UACGGAGGGUGCAAGCGUUGUCCGGAUUUAUUGGGUUUAAAGGGUGCGUAGGCGGUUCGUUAAGUCCGGGGUGAAAGCCCACUGCUCAACAGUGGAACUGCCCUGGAAACUGGCGGACUUGAGUACAGACGAGGGCGGCGGAAUGGAGGGUGUAGCGGUGAAAUGCAUAGAUACCCUCCAGAACCCCGAUUGCGAAGGCAGCUGCCUAGACUGUAACUGACGCUGAGGCACGAAAGCGUGGGGAGCAAACAGG